AGCACAUCUUAUUCACAGACCUGGGAUUUUAUAUAUAUAUAUAUCUGUGCCAUGUCAGGCAGAGACAAUCACAAAAUCCAAGUUGUUUUCCAUUGAAAAGGAAAAAAAAUAUAUUCAUCUUGGAAGUAGGUAAUUGACUAUUUUAAGGCUGGAGAAUUGAUAGAUAUUACCUUCUUAUACUUCACUACCAGUGUCAUCUCAAAGGGAAGAAUGAGCAGAGUAGCUCUAUUUGUUGAACUUACCUUGGCAGCAAACAGCACUUUUUCUGGCAGUGAUCAUGUACUUAGCUGAUAAAGGAAAAAAUAUGUUUGGGAGACCACAUGAGAACAUGAGCAACCAUUAUUUUCCUUGAAAUCUUCUUGGCCCCAAAGAAACUGCUAGUUGCCACCCAAACUGCAACCCAAGUGAUGCUUCAUCUAUAAGACCUUUUAGGUCUAUCAAUAGAUACAGACACAGAUGUUUAUAUGAAUAAAAAGCCUCUUGCAAUAUUUUGGCUUUUGAUGCCAAAUAAACAGAAUAUUCCACAGACAACUGGCUGAUUUUUUUCCCCCACCCCAGAUGGCUUUCGAAUCAUGAUACAACCAUAAUUUCUUACAGGAUACAAACUGUUUUGUAUCAGCAAGGGCAUAACUCUAGAUAAAGUGUUAGGUCUCCAAAGAAAUUUAAAGUUAAUCUCAUCUCUCUGUACACUCGACUCUAAGAGAAUGUAUUGUUUUCCCAGCUCUAAGAGGUAUCAGGUCUCUCGGUGACACCAUCCCAAACCAUUUUAGUCAGAAACAGGUGAAGCAGAGACUGUUAUAAAAUAACCAUACUGGAUGAAUUUCAUGAGCCAUUGACAACCAUGACACAAUCCAAAACUAUUUUACAAAACAUUUACAUUUCUCAAGAAUUAGUUUCAUGAGUUCAGAAGGUUUCUACUGGGAAACUCUCUGAGAAGCGGUCAUGAACUUUGAAUAAUGUCAAGAGCUUGACCUCUGAAUGUGGUGACCAGGCUGACAUUCUGACAGUGCUCUUGUUUGCUUAGUCACUGUGCAACUGCAAAUGAGCACAUAAAGGUACGAUGUGGUGACACAUUAGCUCAAGGCAGUCGUCCAUGUGCAAUAAAACAAGAUCAUAUGCAAAAGUAUUUUAGAUCCUGAUAUGCCUGGACUCUGUUAAGCUGCAAUCCCUUCUUCCCUUUUGAAGUCUAGGUCAGGCAUUUAUCUCAUCAAGGUCUCGUUUCUGUUCUCCAGAACAGGUGUCCUCAAGUGCAGUGACACACUUUCUCUCUUUUUAGCACACAUCCCCUCUGGAAGGGGGAAUAUCCGUGAUGAAGAAAAGAAACAGCUCACGACCUAAGUGUCCUCCCAGGAGGAGUUUUCUUAGACAGCUGCUUCUGUCGAGCUGUAGGUGGGGUGGGUGUUGAGGAGAGGAGAACUGAGGGCAGAGUUAAAAUGCCACCAGAGGAGUCCUGUUGUGGCUCAGUGGGUUAAGAACCCAACUCAUAUCCAUGAGGCUACGGGUUUGAUCCCUGGCCUCGCUCACUGGGUUAAGGAUCCAGUGUUGCCACAAGCAUAGUUGCAGCUCCAAUUUGACCCCUAGCCUGGGAACUUCCAUACGCCGCAGGUGCAGCCCUAGAAAGAAGAAAAAAAAAAUGACACCAGUAAAGCACAGGCCGUAGGACUGUGUGGUAAGCAGAAUUCUAAGAUGCCCUUCAAGAUUUCUGCCUCUGAUGCACAAGCCCUGUAUAAUCCCCUCCCCUGAAGGAUGGGCAAAAAUUAUGGCAAGAACCAUAAUGGAGGAGUAUUUUACAUUUUAAAAAAUUGUGAAUUAAAUUUUAGUAUCAAAGCUGACGUUUAUGCCGUAAAGAAUAGACGUGGGGAAUAUGUGAUGAUGGAAGAGCAGUUUUUCCGCCCUAGCCGUGGUCAUUCUCCCCUGAUCAGAGGACAUACGGUCAGCCAGGAGCACGGGAGUGAGCUUCCUGAGCAAGUUGCUGGACCUGCCCCUCCCCCGCCAGGGCCCCAACCCCCGAGAAGCAGAUAUCAAGCUUCCCAAGAGGUUUGAGAAGACGCUGAAACCCAGCUGUGCUUCAGUUCCUGCAGGGAUCGUUGGGGGAAGAGAGUGUGGAGGAGACAUUUGUCUCACAGAGACCUCCCCCCAGCUGUGGAGUGUGGCAGCGAAAAGAGAAGCAAGCGUGGAGUCUGUGAGGGUACAGAAGAUCCGGGAGAGGUCUGGACGUUUCCUGGAGCUCCAGGAAGGUGCUGGAGAACUUCCAGAAUUCCCCAUGCACACAGAGAGACAGGGAAUGAUUGCAUUCAGAAGACUUACUGACCCCUUUGUCACCAGGAGGUCCCCAAAGCCUCUUGCAAGUCUGAGAUUCCAAGGCUCUAUAGCAGGUGCCUUCAGACAGAUUGAGGGGAAACUAAAAGUUAAGUGACACAGCUCAUCCUCUUCCAUGAUAGGGUGUGUCUCCCCCUGCUAUUGCUCUCCGCUGUUCAUUCCCUGCCCUAAACACACAGUGGAGCUCGAGACAGUAUAGAUUUCGUUCCCCACAUGCCCUGCAUUUAAUUCUCCUUUGCACUGUCAUCCAAUGUAUUACAACACUCUUUAGCUGGCAGUGUGGGGCCUUUGCUUCUUUCUUUCCCCACCUAGAUUCUCCUAGGAAAUCCACCAGUUCCCCAUCCUUUUGGCAGAGCAAUGAGCCACAGAAAGAUGACCUCCGGGCACGUGGUGCCUUCCCAUUUUGAUAUAAAGGAUGAAACUGCGUAUUUUUUCAGUGGUGGAGGGGGAUUAGCACUCUGUGGCAGGGCGCUAGGAAUGCAGAUCAACUCAGACUUGUUAAAACAGUGGCCCAAAUCCCAAAAGAGACAAUCGGUCUUUUGUGAGGCAAUUUGCAAGUAUCAAGUUCCACCCUUAAAACUUCAUAUGCCCUGUUAUUAUGUGAUUAGUAGAGUCAACAGCGGCUGUAUUUCCACCUAGUUCACAGGCUUUUACAACAGCAGAAAUCGGGCUUCGCAUGUGGUUCUGAACUAUAACAGUUCCUCGAGAUGUACCAGUGAGUAACCUGCACAGCGCGGUUGCAUGUGCAAUGUAUGUUGAUAUUGGAAAUGAUAAAUAUCAACUACAUCGUAUAGUAAAGACAUCUUAUAGAAAUGCAUAGAGUUAGACACUUCCCUGGCUGUUCUUUUCAUGUCAAAUGCAGGACGGGAUGCUCUGCUGCUCUGGACCACACUCAGGCGGUUCAUGUUUAAGAAGCUUGAGAAAAGCUUUAGGAGAGAUGCCUUCCCAGACUUGUGCUGUGCGGGGGGACGGAGGAAAGGAGGUGUGCCCGCUGAUCAUCUUUGGUGCCUUUCAAUGUUCUGCUGCAAAUGUCUUCAACAGGUACCUUGUCAAACCUUUAUUUCCAGUGAUCCCAAUCACCACCCUCAACUGGAUGGUACCUCUUUUUUCUACACCUCUUUAGGUCCUUUGUAAAUAUGCCUUAUGGCCCUUGGAAAUGCCAUUUAGUAGUAGAGGUAUUUCCUCUACCUGAUUCCAAGCAACUUGAGGUUCAAUGGCAUUGACCUGAGCCUUACUUAUUGAAUGUACUUCUGUGCAUUGUCUAGCAAAGUUCAUUGCAUCUGUUUCUUGCUCAAGAAAUAUUUGUGAGUGAGUGGGUGAGUGAAUGAGUGAAUGAAUGAACUUGAAAGUAAACUAGAUCCAAUGAACUUCACUCUGAUGGUCACCAGCCUUUACUCAGUGUGUCUUUGGCCAGUUCCCAUUGCUGAACACUGAUACAUGUCAAACACUGAUACAUCAAAGAGGCUGAACGCAAAAGUUCUCAGAUGACUAUCCAGUGAGCUGGAUGCAUGUUAGGUCCACCUCCACCUUGCUUUGCAUUUUGUGCCCAUGACCCCUUUCAAUGUGGAGGAGUGACUACGUUGCACUGUCAGCGUGCUCGUGAAACAAAUUAGGUGUGUGGUUAAAAUCUUAGCAGAAGCAAGGAGAUAUCGUCAACCUUAAUUCAAAAGCAGGAGUUGAGUAGCAACUUCUGACUGGAUGCAGCAGCCUUGCACCUGCUCCUGAUGCCUUCCCAGGGAACUCUUGCAAAGCUGCUAAUUUCUGACAGUCCACACCAGGCAUGUGAGUCUAAGUCCCUUGCGUUCUCGUCAAACUUGAGGUGUCUUCUUCCUGGUUUUGCUCUUCACUCUUUAGUUUACCCUCUCCUGUCUGCAGAGAAACCCGGUCUCUUGAUGGUUUUUGUUCCUUGCUAUACAUGCACAGGUUAAUGCACUUGGCCAAGAAACUCCUUUUGAGUGCCUUUCUGUAUAACAGAUACAUGUUAGGUGCUGAGAAACAGUAAACAAAAGAGUCCUCUCAUGGUUUCACUGUAGAAGCACAAAGGGUCAAGUAAACUGUCAAUCUCUAGAUUCUUUUUUUUUUUUUCUUUUUUUCUUAGGGCCGCACCCGCAGCAUAUGGAGGUUCCCAGGCUAGGGGUCGAAUCAGAGCUGUAGCUGCCAGCCUACACCACAGGCAUAGCAAUGCCAGAUCUGAGCCGCACCUGCGCCUGCAACCUACACCACAGCUCAUGGCUACGCCAGAUCCUUAACCCACUGAGCGAGGCCAGGGGUCGAACCUGUAACCUCAUGGUUCCUAGUCAGAUUCGUUUCCACUACACCACAACAGGAACCCCAAUCUCUAGAUUCUUAAAGGAAACUAGCACGCAUAGCUUUUCUUUAAAAAAAUGAAAUUCUUAUUUCAGACCCAAAAGAUGAAUGACAGCAUUCUCAAUCCAACAGAGGAUCUAAAACUCUCACGUAGAAUCUGGAAAGGAAAUAAAAAGGACUCCCUUCUUUGGUGUCAUUGUUUGAUGCUUAGAGUGGAAAUAUCGCUUGCAAGUUUAGUUUUACCUCUCAAAAUUAAUUAAAGUAUACACAUAGCCAAAAAAAAAAAAA
rnacentral:lncRNA from 1 species